AUUGAACGCUGGCGGAAUGCUUUACACAUGCAAGUCGAACGAUGAACCUUAGCUUGCUAAGGGGAUUAGUGGCGAACGGGUGAGUAAUAUAUCGGAACGUACCGUGUAAUGGGGGAUAACUAGUCGAAAGAUUAGCUAAUACCGCAUACGCCCUGAGGGGGAAAGUAGGGGAUCUUCGGACCUUACCUUAUAAGAGCGGCCGUUUUCUGAUUAGCUAGUUGGUGGGGUAAUGGCAUACAAAGGCGACGAACAGUAGCUGGUCUGAGAGGACAACCAGCCACACUGGAACUGAGACACGGCCCAGACUCCUACGGGGGGCAGCAGUGGGGAAUUUUGGACAAUGGGCGCAAGCCUGAUCCAGCCAUUCCGCGUGAGUGAAGAAGGCCUUCGGGUUGUAAAGCUCUUUCGCAAGGGAAGAAAACUUACAUUCUAAUAAAGUGUGAGGCUGACGGUACCUUGAUAAGAAGCACCGGCUAACUACGUGCCAGCCGCCGCAGUAA
rnacentral:rRNA from 1 species